rnacentral:sRNA from 12 species
UCUGGAUAAACUUGUAUCCAUCCAAGAGAAUGGAGUGAGUCACUUUACGGAAUUAGAUUAAGUAACACAUCUAAGGAUUGCCAAAGGCUUACAUACAAGCGAAAUCCUUUGAUGAUAGGAUAACCAUAUGUCCUUUAAUACAAUAUGUAUUAUAAAAAUAAUCUUGAACAACUUUGAUUAAGUUUUCAAGUUACGGUUUA